rnacentral:lncRNA from 1 species
AAGUAAUACCUUGUUAAUAAUAAUAAUCCUAUAUGAUACAUUAUGUUAGUAAAGAAUUCAUAAUAGAUCCCUAGUAAUAAAAAAAAAUCGUAAUUAAGUUUUUCCAUACCAGCAUAGUUGGUUCGGGUAACUAGUUUUGCUAUAAUUAUUGGAUAUUUAGCAACCAGUGCAGCUAGGAUGCUUCCAUCAGCAUCGGCGAAGUCUUCCCACAGCGUAAGGAUAGUAGGCCUCACACUACAGUAGAAGGAAUGAACAGUAAAUGACAGUAUCCCCCCCAAAAUACAAUAGUAAUAAUAUCACCAAGAAUAAUAAAGAAGAGGAUGUAAAUUUACAAAUAACAGAGACAAAUUUGAUAAGAUUGUUAUUCAAACA